UUUCCGUAGGUGAACCUGCGGAAGGUUCAUUAUUGGAUUUUGAAACUUCAGGCUGCUGCUGGCUCUCCUCGGAGGGCAUGUGCACGCUUGUUGUCCAUUAUUUCUCCCACUGUGCACAAAUUGUAGACCUUUCAGUAGGCCUAUGUUGGUUUUCACAAUCUCUGAAUGUAAUAGAAUGGUUUUGAAUCUUGGGAAAUACAAUACAACUUUCAGCAACGGAUCUCUUGGCUCUC
rnacentral:misc_RNA from 1 species